rnacentral:rRNA from 1 species
UACGUAGGGUGCGAGCGUUGUCCGGAUUUAUUGGGCGUAAAGAGCUCGUAGGCGGUUUGUCGCGUCGGCCGUGAAAUCUCCACGCUUAACGUGGAGCGUGCGGUCGAUACAGGCAGACUUGAGUUCGGUAGGGGAGACUGGAAUUCCUGGUGUAGCGGUGAAAUGCGCAGAUAUCAGGAGGAACACCGGUGGCGAAGGCGGGUCUCUGGGCCGAUACUGACGCUGAGGAGCGAAAGCGUGGGGAGCAAACAGG